AUAUGCUCUUGCUUAUUUUUGUAAAAACAUUUUGUAGAGACAGAGUCUCUCUAUGUUGCCCAGUCUGGUCUUGAACUCUUGGCUUCCAGUGAUCCUCCCACCUUGGCACCCCCCAAAGCUCUGGGAUUACAGGCAUGAGCCAUCACACCUGGCUAUGAAAUUCUUGAGACUAAAGAAAUAUGAUACUACGUGGGAACUUGGAGCUACAUAAAGGAAAGCAGAGUGGAGGAAAUGAUAAAUGUAUUUAUGGAAUUUUUAAAAAUUUAAACAUUUUAUUAAAAGAUAAUUCACUAUUUAAAGAUAACAACUUUUCAUGAUGCUUAUAACAUUAUGACCACAAUAGCACAAAAGAUGGAAGGGUAAAUAGAAGCAUGUUGUUGUAAGAUCUUAUACAUGAAGUGGUGUAAUAUUGUCUGAAUGUAGGCUGUGGUAGGGUAAAUAUGCAUAUGCAAAACAAGAAGCAACAGAACAAAACAUGUCCAAAUAAGUGCAGUAAAAAACCUCAAAUAACAGGAGGUAAAAUGGAAUACUGAAAAAGCAAUCAAAUAAUUCAAAAGAAGUCAGGAAAAAGAAAAAAAGGAACAAUGAAGAACAACAACAAAAAAAGAAAAAAUGGAGGCUGGGCACCAGUGGCUCACACCUGUAAUCCCAGCACUAUGGGAGGCUGAGGUGGGUGGAUCACCUGAAGUCAGGAGUUCAAGACCAGUCUGGCCAACAUGGUGAAACCCCAUCUCAAAAAAAAAAAAAAAAAAAGAAAAAAGGCCAGAUGUGGGGGCUCACGCCUGUAAUCCCAGCACUUUGGGAGGCUGAGGUGGGCAGAUCAUGAGGUCAGGAGUUCAAGACCAGCCUGACCAAUAUGGCAAAACCCCGUCUUUACUAAAAAUGCAAAAAAAAUUUAGCCAGGCGUGGUGACGUAUGCCUGUAGUCCCAGCUACUCAGGAGGCAGAGGUAGAAGAAUCACUUGAACCUUGGAGGUGGAGGUUGCAGUGAGCCAAGAUCACGCCACUGCACUCCAGCGUGGGUAACAGAGUGAGACUCCGUCUCAAAAAAAUAAAAUAAGGAAAAAAAAAAGCAAAACAAACAAACAAAAAAAAAAAAGAAAAAAUGAGACACGUAGAAAACAAACAGCAAGACGAUAAACAUAAUCUAACCAUAUAGAUAAUUACAUUAAGUAUAAAUGGUCCAGAUAGUCUGGUAAAAACAGAGAUUAACUUUGUGCUAUCUAUGGAAGCCCACUUUAAAUAUAGAGGCACAGACGGUUUAAAAUUAAAAGGACAGUAGCUGGGCAUGGUGAUUCACACCUGUAUUCCUAGCACUUUGGGAGGCUGAAGUGAGAAGAUCACUUGAGCCCAGGAGUUUGAGACCAGCCUGGGCAACAUGGCAAAACCACAUAUCUACAAAAAAUACAAAAAAUUAGCUGGACAUGGUGGCACACACCUGUAGUCCCA
rnacentral:lncRNA from 1 species